GAUGAACGCUGGCGGCGUGCCUAAUACAUGCAAGUCGAGCGAACAGACGAGGAGCUUGCUCCUCUGACGUUAGCGGCGGACGGGUGAGUAACACGUGGAUAACCUACCUAUAAGACUGGGAUAACUUCGGGAAACCGGAGCUAAUACCGGAUAAUAUAUUGAACCGCAUGGUUCAAUAGUGAAAGACGGUUUUGCUGUCACUUAUAGAUGGAUCCGCGCCGCAUUAGCUAGUUGGUAAGGUAACGGCUUACCAAGGCAACGAUGCGUAGCCGACCUGAGAGGGUGAUCGGCCACAUUGGAACUGAGACACGGUCCAGACUCCUACGGGAGGCAGCAGUAGGGAAUCUUCCGCAAAGGGCGAAAGCCUGACGGAGCAACGCCGCGUGAGUGAUGAAGGUCUUCGGAUCGUAAAACUCUGUUAUUAGGGAAGAACAAAUGUGUAAGUAACUAUGCACGUCUUGACGGUACCUAAUCAGAAAGCCACGGCUAACUACGUG
rnacentral:rRNA from 1 species